rnacentral:lncRNA from 1 species
AUUGACUUGCACAUUAAGGACAAUAAGUUAUAGGAUCCCCUGGCUCAGUCCGAUGGUUAGCUGUGGAGAUUAACAGAAAGCUGCUGCACGGACAAGUCAACAUCAGACUCUGUUAAAGUGGCAAAACCUCACUACAGGACAUUCUAAGAGAUUCUCUCACUCAUCACAACCCCACAUGUUCUGCUGCUCAUGACAUCACUGUGGACUGCAGUCGUUCCUCAGCAGGACCGUCUCCCAGUAUAUUAAAGAGCCUCACAAACUCUGCAAAA